GACGAACGCUGGCGGCGUGCCUAAUACAUGCAAGUCGAACGCACUCUCGUUUAGAUUGAAGGAGUUUGCUCCUGAUUGAUAAACAUUUGAGUGAGUGGCGGACGGGUGAGUAACACGUGGGUAACCUGCCCUAAAGUGGGGGAUAACAUUUGGAAACAGAUGCUAAUACCGCAUAAAACCUAACACCGCAUGGUGUAGGGUUGAAAGAUGGUUUCGGCUAUCACUUUAGGAUGGACCCGCGGUGCAUUAGUUAGUUGGUGAGGUAAAGGCUCACCAAGACCGUGAUGCAUAGCCGACCUGAGAGGGUAAUCGGCCACACUGGGACUGUGACACGGCCCAGACUCCUACGGGAGGCAGCAGUAGGGAAUCUUCCACAAAGGACGAAAGUCUGAUGGAGCAACGCCGCGUGAGUGAAGAAGGUUUUCGGAUCGUAAAACUCUGUUGUUGGAGAAGAAUGUAUCUGAUAGUAACUGAUCAGGUAGUGACGGUAUCCAACCAGAAAGCCACGGCUAACUACGUG
rnacentral:rRNA from 1 species